rnacentral:rRNA from 2 species
CAGUCGACGACUCUGGUAUUGAUUGGUGCUUGCAUCAUGAUUUACAUUUGAGUGAGUGGCGAACUGGUGAGUAACACGUGGGAAACCUGCCCAGAAGCGGGGGAUAACACCUGGAAACAGAUGCUAAUACCGCAUAACAACUUGGACCGCAUGGUCCGAGCUUGAAAGAUGGCUUCGGCUAUCACUUUUGGAUGGUCCCGCGGCGUAUUAGCUAGAUGGUGGGGUAACGGCUCACCAUGGCAAUGAUACGUAGCCGACCUGAGAGGGUAAUCGGCCACAUUGGGACUGAGACACGGCCCAAACUCCUACGGGAGGCAGCAGUAGGGAAUCUUCCACAAUGGACGAAAGUCUGAUGGAGCAACGCCGCGUGAGUGAAGAAGGGUUUCGGCUCGUAAAACUCUGUUGUUAAAGAAGAACAUAUCUGAGAGUAACUGUUCAGGUAUUGACGGUAUUUAACCAGAAAGCCACGGCUAACUACGUGCCAGCAGCCGCGGUAAUACGUAGGUGGCAAGCGUUGUCCGGAUUUAUUGGGCGUAAAGCGAGCGCAGGCGGUUUUUUAAGUCUGAUGUGAAAGCCUUCGGCUCAACCGAAGAAGUGCAUCGGAAACUGGGAAACUUGAGUGCAGAAGAGGACAGUGGAACUCCAUGUGUAGCGGUGAAAUGCGUAGAUAUAUGGAAGAACACCAGUGGCGAAGGCGGCUGUCUGGUCUGUAACUGACGCUGAGGCUCGAAAGUAUGGGUAGCAAACAGGAUUAGAUACCCUGGUAGUCCAUACCGUAAACGAUGAAUGCUAAGUGUUGGAGGGUUUCCGCCCUUCAGUGCUGCAGCUAACGCAUUAAGCAUUCCGCCUGGGGAGUACGGCCGCAAGGCUGAAACUCAAAGGAAUUGACGGGGGCCCGCACAAGCGGUGGAGCAUGUGGUUUAAUUCGAAGCUACGCGAAGAACCUUACCAGGUCUUGACAUACUAUGCAAAUCUAAGAGAUUAGACGUUCCCUUCGGGGACAUGGAUACAGGUGGUGCAUGGUUGUCGUCAGCUCGUGUCGUGAGAUGUUGGGUUAAGUCCCGCAACGAGCGCAACCCUUAUUAUCAGUUGCCAGCAUUAAGUUGGGCACUCUGGUGAGACUGCCGGUGACAAACCGGAGGAAGGUGGGGAUGACGUCAAAUCAUCAUGCCCCUUAUGACCUGGGCUACACACGUGCUACAAUGGAUGGUACAACGAGUUGCGAACUCGCGAGAGUAAGCUAAUCUCUUAAAGCCAUUCUCAGUUCGGAUUGUAGGCUGCAACUCGCCUACAUGAAGUCGGAAUCGCUAGUAAUCGCGGAUCAGCAUGCCGCGGUGAAUACGUUCCCGGGCCUUGUACACACCGCCCGUCACACCAUGAGAGUUUGUAACACCCAAAGUCGGUGGG